rnacentral:rRNA from 1 species
GAUGAACGCUGGCGGCGUGCCUAAUACAUGCAAGUCGAGCGAACGGACGAGAAGCUUGCUUCUCUGAUGUUAGCGGCGGACGGGUGAGUAACACGUGGAUAACCUACCUAUAAGACUGGGAUAACUUCGGGAAACCGGAGCUAAUACCGGAUAAUAUUUUGAACCGCAUGGUUCAAAAGUGAAAGACGGUCUUGCUGUCACUUAUAGAUGGAUCCGCGCUGCAUUAGCUAGUUGGUAAGGUAACGGCUUACCAAGGCAACGAUGCAUAGCCGACCUGAGAGGGUGAUCGGCCACACUGGAACUGAGACACGGUCCAGACUCCUACGGGAGGCAGCAGUAGGGAAUCUUCCGCAAUGGGCGAAAGCCUGACGGAGCAACGCCGCGUGAGUGAUGAAGGUCUUCGGAUCGUAAAACUCUGUUAUUAGGGAAGAACAUAUGUGUAAGUAACUGUGCACAUCUUGACGGUACCUAAUCAGAAGGCCACGGCUAACUACGUGC